rnacentral:rRNA from 1 species
AUUACUAAGCGGAGGAAAAGAAACUAACAAGGAUUGCCUCAGUAACGGCGAGUGAACCGGCAAUAGCCCAGGCUGAGAAUCGCUUCGGCGAAUUGUACAGUGAAGACGCUAACCUUACCAUAGCAUUCAGGCGUAACUUGGCUGGAACGCCAGACCGGAGAGGGUGCAAGUCCCGUGCCGCCUGAAAGCAGUGGGUAGGUGGUGUUCAGAGAGUCGGGUAGUUUGGGAUUGCUGCCCUAAGUGGGAGGUAGACUUCUCCUAAGGCUAAAUACGGACAAGAGACCGAUAGCGAACAAGUACUGUGAAGGAAAGAUGAAAAGAACUUUGAAAAGAGAGUUAAAAGACUUGAAAUCGCUGAGGAGGAAGCUGUGGGACGUCUAGCAGAGCUGGCAGUACUGUAGCUGAGGCUGCAGGUUCGCCAGCUGCAAUCAGUCUUGCCGCUUGCCUACUGGUGCUGUCGCUGUGAGCGCAGCAGAUCGGGGCGAACCCGGCAAGGCUGUGAGGCGUGUCACCGACCCGUCUUGAAACACGGACCAAGGAGUCCAACAUGUAUGCGAGUAGUCGGGUGUAAAACCUCACUGCACAACGAAAGUGAUCCUUGCGAAAUUUGCAGCAAGGGCCGCGUUAGCGAGUUCAGCAUACAUGUUGGGACCCGAAAGAUGGUGAACUAUGCUUGGGAAAGGCGAAGCCAGGGGAAACUCUGGUGGAGGCUUGUAGGGGUUCUGACGUGCAAAUCGAUCUUCUAACCUGAGUAUAGGGGCGAAAGACUAAUCGAACCAUCUAGUAGCUGGUUCCCUCCGAAAUUUCCCUCAGGAUAGCUGGAGCAGCGCAGUUUUAUCGGGUAAAGCGAAUGAUUAGAGGUUCGGGAGUUGAAACAACUUUCACCUAUUCUCAAACUUUAAAUUGGUAAGAUAGGGCAGUUUCUUAAUUGAACUGCCCUACGAAUGCAUGCUCCAAGUGGGCCUGUUUUGGUAAGCAGAACUGGCGACGAGGGUUGAACCUAGGGCGAGGCUGAGGCGACUAAUUGGCCGCUCAUCAGACAGAAAGGUGUUAGUUCAUUUAGACAGUAGGACGGUGGCCAUGGAAGUCGGAAUCCGCUAAGGAGUGUGUAACAACUCACCUACCGAAUGGACUAGCCCUGAAAAUGGAUGUCGCUAAGCGGCCAGCCGAUACCUCGCUGUUAGUCCUAGCGAUGGACUGACAAGUAGGAGGGCGUGAGGGUAGCGUCGAAGCCUAGGUGUGAACCUUGGUGGAGCUGCUCUUAGUGCGGAUCUUGGUGGUAGUAGCAACUAUUCAAAUGAGAACUUUGAAGACUGAAGUGGAGAAGGGUUUCAUGAGAACAGCAAUUGGUCAUGAGUGACUCGGUCCUAAGGCCACGGGAAAUCCGGUGACGACAUUGUCCAGGCCGAAAGGGUAUGUGGUUAAAAUUCCACAAGCAGGCAAUGGGUACUGUGUGGCAACACAACUGAACUCAGAAACGUCGGGGCGAGGUCCCAGGGAGAGUUCUCUUUUCUUCUUAACAAGUCGCUGCCCUGGAGGUCUUUGCGACGAGAUAGGGCUACCGACUUGGCAGAGCAGCACACCAUUCGUGCUGUCUGGUGCACCUCCUUCGGCCCUUGAAAAUCUGAGGGAAACCUUAUCGCAUGCCUGGCCGUACCAAUAACCGC